UAAGCGGAGGAAAAGAAACUAACUAGGAUUCCCUCAGUAGCUGCGAGCGAACAGGGAAGAGCCCAGCACCGAAUCCCGCGGCCGAUAUCGGACGCCGGGAAAUGUGGUGUUAGGGAGGAUCCGUUUAUCCCGAGGUCGUGCGGUGCGUCCAAGUCCUUCUUGAACGGGGCCACAGCCCAUAGAGGGUGCCAGGCCCGUAGCGACCGCUGCCGAUCGCGGGAGGAUCUCUCCUCAGAGUCGGGUUGCUUGAGAGUGCAGCCCUAAGUGGGUGGUAAACUCCAUCUAAGGCUAAAUAUGACCACGAGACCGAUAGCGAACAAGUACCGUGAGGGAAAGUUGAAAAGCACUUUGAAGAGAGAGUUCAAGAGUACGUGAAACCGUUCAGGGGUAAACCUGAGAAGCCCGAAAGGUCGAAUGGGGAAAUUCAAUCGCGUUUCGCGCGUCGUCCGCGCCUUCCGUUCUUCGAACCGGCGUCGAACGCGUGCACUUUUCCCCUAGUAGGACGUCGCGAUCCGUUGGGUGUCGGUCCUCGCGGUGGAGCCCGUGCGGUCGCUUCGCACGGACCCGCGGUGUCCCGACCGACUCGCUCGACGGUAUACAGAUGGCGCGGGGCCGCUAUUCAGUUAGCGUUCGGCCCGCGGCAAGCGCGUUCGUGACGGCGAUCGGACCUGGUGCCGGUCCCGUCCGCGAACGACUGUUGGCUGCUCUCGAACAGACCUCGACGAAACGCCGAUCUGCGACGCUAUAGCUUUGGGUACUUUCAGGACCCGUCUUGAA
rnacentral:rRNA from 1 species